CAGGCCUAACACAUGCAAGUCGAACGAGAAAGUGGAGCAAUCCAUGAGUACAGUGGCGACCGGGUGAGUAACACGUGACUAACCUACCUUCGAGUGGGGAAUAACCUAGGGAAACCUGGGCUAAUACCGCAUAAUGUCUUCGGACCAAAGGAGCAAUUCGCUGGAAGAGGGGGUCGCGGCCGAUUAGCUAGUUGGUGGGGUAACGGCCCACCAAGGCAAUGAUCGGUAGCCGGCCUGAGAGGGCGCACGGCCACACUGGAACUGAAACACGGUCCAGACUCCUACGGGAGGCAGCAGUGGGGAAUUUUGCGCAAUGGGGGAAACCCUGACGCAGCAACGCCGCGUGGAGGAUGAAGCCCCUUGGGGUGUAAACUCCUUUCGAUCGGGACGAUAAUGACGGUACCGGAUGAAGAAGCACCGGCUAACUCUGUGCCAGCAGCCGCGGUAAUACA
rnacentral:rRNA from 1 species